CAAGCACUGGCAUUUCCAGGGUACAUGUUUUCAGGACACCAGCAUUCCCAGGAAAGCUGCUUUUUCAAAGUUCCCACCUGCACCCCCUGCUCUGAAACAAAGGCUCCCACUAAAAGCAAAGAAGUAGCUAUAGAGGAAGAUUCCCUAGUUGCUGCCCACAUGUCAACUGCUGCUGUUGCAGACUGUGGCUUUUGUGAUGACAGCAAUGAUUCAAUUAAAUGAUUUUUUAAUACUU